rnacentral:misc_RNA from 1 species
GGAAGUAAAAGUAGUAACAAGGUUUCCGUAGGUGAACCUGCGGAAGGAUCAUUAUUGAAUGAAACACUUCUGGCUUUAUGCUGUUGUGCUGGCCCUUUGGGCAAUGUGCACACGGCUCUGGUCACUUGUUUCUUCUGUUCCACCUGUGCACUGCCUGUAGACACGCUGUGUCUAUGAUAUUUGUUAACACACAACAAUGUUAGUUGGCAUGUUGUAUAUAAUAAUAAAAUAUACAACUUUCAACAACGGAUCUCUUGGCUCUC